rnacentral:rRNA from 1 species
AUUGAACGCUGGCGGCAUGCCUUACACAUGCAAGUCGAACGGCAGCGGGCCUUCGGGUGCCGGCGAGUGGCGAACGGGUGAGUAAUGCAUCGGAACGUGCCAUUGAGUGGGGGAUAACGUAGCGAAAGUUGCGCUAAUACCGCAUAUUCUGUGAGCAGGAAAGCAGGGGGACCGCAAGGCCUUGCGCUCUUUGAGCGGCCGAUGUCAGAUUAGCUAGUUGGUGAGGUAAAGGCUUACCAAGGCGACGAUCUGUAGCGGGUCUGAGAGGAUGAUCCGCCACACUGGAACUGAGACACGGUCCAGACUCCUACGGAGGCAGCAGUGGGGAAUUUUGGACAAUGGGCGCAAGCCUGAUCCAGCCAUGCCGCGUGAGUGAAGAAGGCCUUCGG